AUCCAGCUGACGAGUUCCAAGUAGGAGGAAACGUGCGUCCUGGAU
rnacentral:hammerhead_ribozyme from 1 species